UACGUAGGGGGCAAGCGUUGUCCGGAUUUAUUGGGCGUAAGGAGCGUGUAGGCGGCUUGGCAAGUCCGCUGUGAAAACUCGAGGCUCAACCUCGAGACGUCGGUGGAAACUGCCUGGCUAGAGUCCGGAAGAGGAGUGUGGAAUUCCUGGUGUAGCGGUGAAAUGCGCAGAUAUCAGGAAGAACACCUAUGGCGAAGGCAGCACUCUGGGACGGUACUGACGCUGAGACGCGAAAGCGUGGGGAGCGAACAGG
rnacentral:rRNA from 1 species